GAGUUGACUCCUGGCUACGAGGACACGCUGGCGGCGUGCUUAACACAUGCAAGUCGAGCGGAAAGGCCCUUUCGGGGGUACUCGAGCGGCGAACGGGUGAGUAACACGUGAGCAACCUGCCUUCAGCUUCGGGAUAACCCCGGGAAACCGGGGCUAAUACCGGGUAUUCACAUUGUCUCGCAUGAGGCUGGUGUGGAAAGGGUUUUACCGGCUGGGGAUGGACUCGCGGCCUAUCAGCUUGUUGGUGGGGUGGUGGCCUACCAAGGCGACGACGGGUAGCCGGCCUGAGAGGGCGACCGGCCACACUGGGACUGAGACACGGCCCAGACUCCUACGGGAGGCAGCAGUGGGGAAUAUUGCGCAAUGGGCGGAAGCCUGACGCAGCGACGCCGCGUGGGGGAUGACGGCCUUCGGGUUGUAAACCUCUUUCAGCAGGGACGAAGCGUGAGUGACGGUACCUGCAGAAGAAGCUCCGGCUAACUACGUG
rnacentral:rRNA from 1 species